rnacentral:rRNA from 1 species
GACGAACACUGGCGGCGUGCUUAACACAUGCAAGUCGAACGCUGAAGCUCAGCUUGCUGGGUGGAUGAGUGGCGAACGGGUGAGUAACACGUGAGUAACCUGCCCUCUUCUUUGGGAUAACGCCCGGAAACGGGUGCUAAUACUGGAUAUUCACUGAUUCUCGCAUGGGGGUUGGUGGAAAGGUUUUUUCUGGUGGGGGAUGGGCUCGCGGCCUAUCAGCUUGUUGGUGGGGUGAUGGCCUACCAAGGCUUUGACGGGUAGCCGGCCUGAGAGGGUGACCGGUCACAUUGGGACUGAGAUACGGCCCAGACUCCUACGGGAGGCAGCAGUGGGGAAUAUUGCACAAUGGGCGAAAGCCUGAUGCAGCGACGCCGCGUGAGGGAUGGAGGCCUUCGGGUUGUAAACCUCUUUCGCUCAUGGUCAAGCCGCAGCUUUGGGUUGUGGUGAGGGUAGUGGGUAAAGAAGCGCCGGCUAACUACGUG